CUGGAAUGGUUCCUGACUAAAAUCUAUAUGGCCUCUGGAUUGGACUGCGGCCGAUCAGGCUGUUGGUGAGGUAAUGGCCCACCAAACCUGUAACCGGUACGGGCUCUGAGAGGAGGAGCCCGGAGAUGGGCACUGAGACAAGGGCCCAGGCCCUAUGGGGCGCAGCAGGCGCGAAACCUCUGCAAUAGGCGAAAGCCUGACAGGGUUACUCUGAGUGACUUUCGCUAAGAAAGUCUUUUGGCACCUCUAAAAAGGGUGCAGAAUAAGGGGUGGGCAAGUCUGGUGUCAGCCGCCGCGGUAAUACCAGCACCCCGAGUGGUCGGGACGAUUAUUGGGCCUAAAGCAUCCGUAGCCGGUUCUGCAAGUCUUCCGUUAAAUCCAGCCGCUCAACGGAUGGGCCGCGGAGGAUACUACAGGACUAGGAGGCGGGAGAGGCAAGCGGUACUCAGUGGGUAGGGGUAAAAUCCUUUGAUCCAUUGAAGACCACCAGUGGCGAAGGCGGCUUGCCAGAACGCGCUCGACGGCGAGGGAUGAAAGCUGGGGGAGCAAACCGGAUUAGAUACCCGGGUAGUCCCAGCUGUAAACGAUGCAGACUCGGUGAUGGGCUAGCCUUGUGCCAGCCCAGUGCCGCAGGGAAGCCGUUAAGUCUGCCGCCUGGGGGGUACGGUCGCGAGACUGAAACUUAAAGGAAUUGGCGGGGGAGCACCACAAGGGGUGAAGCCUGCGGUUCAAUUGGACUCAACGCCGGU
rnacentral:rRNA from 1 species